CAGUCAGUCAUGAUUGUUGCCUUACUGUGCUAUAGAAGUAAAUAACUUUUUGUUCAAUUAUUACCUGGGUAUUGCUCUUAGUCACACAACCAGCAAAAGCCAGGUUCCGGCUGGUUAGUAAGAGAUAAUGCUUGCUCAAAAAUGGAUGUUCUUAGUUGACAAAAUAGACAUUAAUUUUUACACUCUGCAUCCAAAGUUAUUUAUAAUUCUGUAUGCCUGACCGUGAAGUCCUGAAAGUGUUACCGUAGCAAACUAUAAUUCUUGGUCUUAGCUUAGUAAAGUGUUUGCUUUCUCCAAAAUGGUAACUCAUGUUGUUUACAAAGACAGAGGAGCCUCAAGUAUUUACUCCAUGUGCCUGUAAGGCUCAUUCUGACCUGACUUCCCCAGCCCCAAACUGCUAGCCAGCAGAGGUCCUGUUUUUAGUGGGGGACUCAGCUCAGCACCAGGCUGUCACCCAUAGAUAAGAUAGGGCAGGAGAUAAGAAAAUUUACACCAGACACUUCAAGGACUUUGUCCACUGAGGCAUAAAACAGCCAGAGAAAUCUCACAGCUGUUCAUUAAAAUCUUUCCGCCCACUGUCCUCUGCCUUCUCUCCAUCCCUGUAAAAGGGGCCCACUUCUCUCUGUCCCCCGCUUCCUGCCUGCACUCAGACACAGUAAAUUCCAUGCCGUGUUGCCCUCACUCAAGCCAGAAGGUCUCUGCUGCUCUUUGGUCCUAGUGCCAUUCAUCGCAGCUCCUUUCUGGCAGAGCUGAGCUUGCUGCACAGAAAUUGUUUUUAAAGUUAACUUAGUUACUGUGUUUCUCAGUUCAAGUCUACCAUACAGACUGGAUUUGCUUUUGCUCCUCUUGGCUUGCUUUAUGUCUGACUGUAUGCCUUGUAACUAUCUGUCGAAGUUCUAAUGUUUUAGGGUGCUGACUGCUCACUAAGACAGGAUUAAACUUGACAGCAGACUCAGGCUCAAGCUUCUGGCUUCCCUCUGCUUGUGCUCCAGCUCGCUUUGAUGAGAUCUCCCCACCAACCCAAAAUGAAGGAGACAGGCCGGUGGGCUGGCACCUCAAGGCUCUCAAGAUUGAAGGCUGAAAUAAGCAAGGGGGAUAGUGCCAGGCACAGCAAAAUGGAGCUUAAAAGUUAGAAGAGCCUUUUCUUUUGGAAUCCAGAGGCUUCCAAACUUCCUCAAGCCUACGGCAUAAAUGACUCCUGUUCCUCCUACACCAAGACGAAUGGUCAGAAUAUGCAAGGCAAGGAGAGGCUCAGGCCCAAUUUCAUUGCCUUAGGCAAGAGAGAGUCAGGUCUGGGUCUAGGAAGGGACAGAAUUGCCUUAAAAAUGUCUGCUUUCCCAAUGUAUUUUUCUCCUCCAAGAUUCUUUGUGAUAAAAGAGCCCAAGGGACCUGCACAUGGCGAGCUGAUGAUUUAAGGGAAAUAGGCUGCUUUACCUGCUCAGAGCUACCUUUGAAUAAAUCCUUUCUCCUUUCCCCCAAACAUGUGUCCUCCUUUGAUUUGGCCAGUGGGGGGCAGAUGAACCUGAGCGUGUGAACCUCAGUAGCCCAGCCCCACUUCUCUGCUGUUGGGCUUCCACCUGGGUUCAGGAGUUGUUCCAUUGGCUUCUCCUGCUAACCCAGCUGUGAUGGCCAGCACUACACAGCUGUGUGCGGAGUAGUCCUGACUUUAAAAUUACCAGGCAAGUGUCAUGCUUCUUUUUUCCCUGCAUUUAUUACUAAUUUCUGAACUAGCAAAUACUGAAUAUCCUAGGAAUGGCAGUAAGGUUGCCAUUAAGACUGGGUGUUUGUUCUGGCCACUUUCCAAAGUGACCUUCCCAUGUCUCCUGGUUCUAACCACCUGAACAAACAAAGACUUGGGGCACAAAGUCAUCGUCAGCAGGCCGACUUCCUCUUUAUCUCAGACUUAAAGGAUAUAAACUCCUUGAAUAUGAUCCACAUAUGUACUGAUUGGUUACCUCACUUGCUGAAACUAUUUAAAUCAUGCUUUACAAGGACACAAAAUAUGCCAAAAUUAUAGAGGUGUUUGUUUCUCUUUGGGACUCAAGUUGGCUUUAUGCAGUUUUAUACAUUGAUCUUUGAGAGCUGGGAAUUAGCCUCAAAGGAUCAGUAUUGUUGUGGGUAAAUCUAUCAGGGUGAUUCAGCUUCCAACAAGAGAACCCAUAUCAGCAGUGCAGACAAAGGGAGUUUGUUACUGCACGUGGGGAAAGUGUGGGCCAUCCCAGAACCAGUUCAUUUUGUGGCUCAAGUUAGCCAGUCAUUUUUUCUUGGAUUCUCUUAUUUCCCCCUUUUAUUUCCAAGGUGACUUCAUUCUUCGUGGGGCAUUACUAAAAUUGCAAGAAAAAAAGGAAAUCCUGUCUUGCCUCCCCUUUUUAAGAAUUGGGAAGCCUUCCAUAAUAUUUGUAACAGAAAUCUUGUAUUCUUUCCUUCUCCUUCCCUCUUGUCUCUUCUAUGUACACCCUUAUGAUUACAUUGUAUUGUUAAAGGCAUUUUGCAAAUGAAGAAAUAAGCGGAUGAUUGGUUAAAACUAAUGGACACUAGCAUCUUGGGAUAUAUGAACAAAAAUCCCUGAAACUGAUCAUUUGCCUAGAUUAUAGAUAAAAUCAGGUUCUCUUAAACAAGGAUGAAAAAUGGCAGCUUCUGUGUAGAUGACUAAUAUUGUUUACCAUUGCACAAAACCUUUGUUACACUAGGCCAAUAAUAGGGUAUCAUUCAGUGCUAUUUUUGUUCAAACAAUCUGAAAGCCCAAGUGUAACUUGCUUAAGCAACAAAGAGAAUUCACAGGCUUCAGAGAUAUUGCUGGCUUCAGGUGAGAAUGGAUGUAAUGUCCUCAACAGCGUAAUUGAAGAUUUGGCUUUUCUUGGUCUCUCUGCUCUAAAUUUAGAGUAUCAACUUAUUCUGAAGCCUGCUACUAUUCUUGAAGACUUAAUGCCUGCUACUGUCUCCUAGAGCCAACCCUCUUUCAAUCUGGUGUCAAAGAGAAUCUCUCCCUGCAUUGACUGUUGGGAGCCAUUGAAACUGGAAGUUGAACACAUGUACAGGGCUGUGGCAUGGCAGGGGUAUGGUCAACCUAAAAACAAAGAGAAGCCUCAAAGGGCAAAGUAACAUCACAGGUGAGGAUGCCGGGCCCCAACUCCAACUAACUAAAUAAAGACUGUAGAAUUUCACUCCUAUAUGGAGAUCUUCUCCUAAAUUAAAUAGAAUCUGUUAGUUGGCAAAGUCCUUGAACCACUCCUAAGGUCUGUUCAGCUUCCUGUGUUUUUAACUUUAAUCCCUUCCUUGUUUGAAAACUAAAUAAAUAUGGGCCACCCAGAGACACUUCUCAUCUCAGUCCCCAGAGUCUUGAACUCUGCAGAGGGUUUUGAUUCUCCUGGAGCCCUAAAAUCACACCAUUUAUCUCAUUUAUUUUAAGUCUUUGCUGUACACUUAUUUGGGAGAUUGGAGAGCUAGGCCAGGUGCCCGAUAAUUGAAUACAGAAAAAUAGGUAGCAUAUCUUUUCUAUAAACCACAGCAGCUAUCUCUCAUAUCUUAUUGGUUCAUUUACAUUACAAGACCAUCUCUGAAUCAAGGAAUGAGCUAUGCAGUUGAUGUGUAAGAUAUCUGACACUGUCAUUCAUUUCAGCAAUGCAGUUUAUAUCAGUAACUUUCUGAGAGAAAUGAAACCAGGAAGAUAAAUAAAUGAAUAAAUAAAGGACCCACCCAUUAUUAUAGGAGUCUCAUAUUGCAGGCAUUUUCCUAAAAAUAUUUUUAAUAAAUUGAAUAAUUAUUGUUUAUAAGAUAAAGCAAAUAAUGAAAAUUAAAUUCGUGCAAGGCAUAUAGUGAAAAUAACACCAAUAUUGAAAUUCUAACAUGAUAAAAAUAAUUUAAGAUGUAAUUCACUAGUUUUGACAAAGAUUAAAAAGUUACUCAUUAUGACAUGUUGAUAUUGGAGAUAUGCAAUUAAUUUUUUUGGUUGCAGAAUUAACAGGUGGGUAUGCGGGAGCAGGCCUGUGAUCCCAGCAUUCCAGGGGCGGUGGCAGGGGAUUGCCAAGAGUUUGAGGCCAGCCUGAACUACACAAAGAGACUUUGUCUCAAAACAAAGCAAAACAAAACUAACAAUUACUUUCAAAGACUUUGACACCAUUUGAAGAGAGUUUUAAAAAUACUUUUUAGUAUUCAACAGUAUGUAAUGCUAACAUGUCAGCAUUUUUAGCAUGAUUACCGUAUACAUCAUGAAGUUAAAAUAUUACUUAUAUAUUCUAAAAUGUACCCUUGAACAACUUAAUAGGAUCUAAAGGCCAGAAUAGGGAAUUGUGAAUCAUUAUUCAUACAUUAAGAAAUACAAGGAGGAAAAGCAGCUUCGGAGGGAAGUAUGGAGAAAGGGUCUUACACUCACAUGGGUGCACCCCACAAUGAUUUCUUAAAAUUUGGGGCAAAUCAGCUUCCUGUGUAUCAGUCUCUCUAUUCAUGAUGUAAAAGCUGGAUUGGAGGCAGUAACUCAGUGGUAAUAUGCUUGGACUUAUUCAAUUCUCAAGAGCACAAAUAAUAAUAAUUUACAUAAUCAAUAAAUAUUGACCCAAAUUGUAGACUUGUAGGAAUAUGUUAGGGAUUUUUGAACUUCUGGGAAUGUUUUAAACUAUUUGGACACUUCACAUGUCCAAAUGUAUUGUGUCAUUCAUUUUUGAGUUGACAUUUCAGCUCCUUAUGUCUUCCUUUGCAUUUAUGUUUCCCACAGUGGACACCAGUCCAUGCCAUAUUUGUUAAGCAAGUUCAGAGGCCAUGAUUGUGAUUAUGGCUCUGCUUCUCCAUCAGGUGGAUGAUUUGGAGCGAAUGGCUUAUUUAGUACCCACUCUCAUGGUGUUACUAGACACCAAAACUAUUUGUCAGUCCUCUCUUAGAAAGCAAAGUCCAAAGGAACUAAAAGUGGGUAGAAAUAAAUUAACAGGACUUUAGCUUGUUCAGCUUCUGAAAAUUUUAAACCUUAUUGAUGAGAAACCAAAGAAUUGUACAAGUGAACUUGGAGCUUUGUGACAUCAUGAUAUGUAGACUUCUAAUUUUUGUGCACAUUUCCUGAAUGAUAGUACCCUCCCCUGGGCAGAACAGAGAAACUGGAAUUUUUCUUCCUGAGACAAAUCAUUGAAAUCCUGAUUUGGAGCUCUUGGUCAUAAAGAAAUUCCUUGCUUGCCUUUGUGAUAUUAGUGAUAAGACCCUACCCACCCUUCAGAAGGGGUAAUACCCUACUCAAUGAAGAAGGAAUGUGAAGAAUCCAGACAGACAGGCCUUACUGGGUUUCCCCACUCAGACUAUCAGCAUCAAAUUGGACCCUUUUUUUCUCUAAUAAGAUUUCCCAAGCAAUGCAUUUUCUAUGCAACUCCAAAGGGUAAUGUUGGGUGAGGUUCUGUAUCCUGGACACGUGGAAGUGCUGGAGGGUGUCCCCUGGAGAGGACCUGGGAGCUCAGUGUCCUGCUCUCCUAGUUUACCCUACACUAAUCUCUUCAUCUGUACCCUUUGUAAUAUCCUUACUAAUAAACUGUAAUUAUUUCCCUAA